UCGGCUGUAAACAUACGCGCUAUAUCGUACGCUUCAGGCUGGUCCUGUUCCUGAAAAACACUGAAAAAUUCCCGGUUUCCUCUAGUCAAAAUGCAUUUUUAAACGAAUAUUUUGGUUGGGUAUUGCAGAAUAGGUCGGGUUUAAGUUAUAAUCGAGGUGAAAUAGAAGUAUUAAUAAGAAACCGAAAUAAAUCAUGAGGGAAGUGGAAGCUAGAGGUGGAUUUGGUAAAAUAUCCUCUCGAUACCUUCUUGCAAUACUGGGUUCCAUUGGUUUGGGUAUAGUCUAUGGACUGAAGGUUAACUUCCAUGUCGCCAUAGUGAGUAUGGUGAACCACACUGCAGUUGGUGGGAGUGAACAUGGAGACGCUGGUGA